CACGUAGGGGCCAAGCGUUUGUCCGGAUUUAUUGGGCGUAAAGAGCUCGUAGGCGGUUGGGUAAGUCGGGUGUGAAAACUCCAGGCUCAACUUGGAGACGCCACCCGAUACUGCUCUGACUUGAGUUCGGUAGGGGAGUGGGGAAUUCCUGGUGUAGCGGUGAAAUGCGCAGAUAUCAGGAGGAACACCGGUGGCGAAGGCGGUUCUCUGGGCCUUACCUGACGCUGAGGAGCGAAAGCGUGGGGAGCGAACAGG
rnacentral:rRNA from 1 species